rnacentral:rRNA from 1 species
AAUAUUGCACAAUGGGGGAAACCCUGAUGCAGCCAUGCCGCGUGUGUGAAGAAGGCCUUCGGGUUGUAAAGCACUUUCAGUAGGGAGGAAGGUAGUGUAGUUAACACCUGCAUUAUUUGACGUUACCUACAGAAGAAGCACCGGCUAACUCCGUGCCAGCAGCCGCGGUAAUACGGAGGGUGCGAGCGUUAAUCGGAAUUACUGGGCGUAAAGCGCAUGCAGGCGGCCUGUUAAGUCAGAUGUGAAAGCCCGGGGCUUAACCUCGGAAUUGCAUUUGAAACUGGCAGGCUAGAGUCUUGUAGAGGGGGUAGAAUUUCUGGUGUAGCGGUGAAAUGCGUAGAGAUCUGAAGGAAUACCAGUGGCGAAGGCGGCCCCCUGGACAAAGACUGACGCUCAGAUGCGAAAGCGUGGGGAGCAAACAGGAUUAGAUACCCUGGUAG